ACAAUUUUUGCCGAGACGCUGCAUGGCGGUCUGGUAGUCCUUUGUUCUUCAAUAGGAUUUCGCCUACAAUUUGGAGGCGAAAACAACAUACUCAAACGUUUCUUACGUGUGUUUCGUGUCGAACGCAUCAUUUGACGCCGAUACGACGCCAAACGAGUGAGAUAUUCCGUUGGAAGAAACAGCGAUGACGCGCGGCGCUCUAUUCAGACAACGAUGCAACGCACAAGAAAGAAGAUCUUUUCGAAGAUGAAGACAUCGGCGAUUCAAUUAGUGCAGCUUAGACAAGAAGUUGACAUGAACGCAUCGAAACUAUCAUCAAUAGCUAUGAGAUUUGUAUGAUUCGAAAGCGCAAUUAACAAGCUUUUCAAAUCUGUAUGUAUUGUAAUUUUCGCUUCUAUAAUGUGGGUACAAUUGCGAAUAAUAAGUAAUGGAUUGUA